CCAAAUCACCAGUUCCCGUAUGAUCACCGAAAUUAAACAAUGUCGAGCUUGCUCAGUGCCGGAAUGGGUGACCACGUGGGAAUAUCAGGUGCUGUAAG